AUCUUUGCGCAGUGGCAGUAUCGUAGCCCAUGAGGUUUAUCCGAGGCGCGAUUAUUGCUAGUUGAAAACUUUACCCAAUACCCCGCCUAGACGACUUGAAAUAUAGUCGGCAACGGCAAUUUUUGACAGUCUUUACGGAGA
rnacentral:snRNA from 1 species